rnacentral:rRNA from 1 species
AUUGAACGCUGGCGGCAUGCCUUACACAUGCAAGUCGAACGGCAGCACGGGAGCAAUCCUGGUGGCGAGUGGCGAACGGGUGAGUAAUAUAUCGGAACGUGCCCGGUCGUGGGGAUAACGUAGCGAAAGCUACGCUAAUACCGCAUACGAUCUACGGAUGAAAGCGGGGGAUCGCAAGACCUCGCGCGAUUGGAGCGGCCGAUAUCAGAUUAGGUAGUUGGUGAGGUAAAGGCUCACCAAGCCGACGAUCUGUAGCUGGUCUGAGAGGACGACCAGCCACACUGGGACUGAGACACGGCCCAGACUCCUACGGGAGGCAGCAGUGGGGAAUUUUGGACAAUGGGCGCAAGCCUGAUCCAGCAAUGCCGCGUGCAGGAUGAAGGCCUCGGUUGUAACGUAGUACGUUUGUUACGGUAACGUAAACGGUA